AGAGUUUGAUCAUGGCUCAGAUUGAACGCUGGCGGCAGGCCUAACACAUGCAAGUCGAGCGGAUGACAGGAGCUUGCUCCUGAAUUCAGCGGCGGACGGGUGAGUAAUGCCUAGGAAUCUGCCUGGUAGUGGGGGACAACGUUUCGAAAGGAACGCUAAUACCGCAUACGUCCUACGGGAGAAAGCAGGGGACCUUCGGGCCUUGCGCUAUCAGAUGAGCCUAGGUCGGAUUAGCUAGUUGGUGAGGUAAUGGCUCACCAAGGCGACGAUCCGUAACUGGUCUGAGAGGAUGAUCAGUCACACUGGAACUGAGACACGGUCCAGACUCCUACGGGAGGCAGCAGUGGGGAAUAUUGGACAAUGGGCGAAAGCCUGAUCCAGCCAUGCCGCGUGUGUGAAGAAGGUCUUCGGAUUGUAAAGCACUUUAAGUUGGGAGGAAGGGCAUUAACCUAAUACGUUAGUGUUUUGACGUUACCGACAGAAUAAGCACCCGGCUAACUCUGUGCCAGCAGCCGCGGUA
rnacentral:rRNA from 1 species